rnacentral:lncRNA from 1 species
GGAGAGAGGACCCGCCUGGAACGCGCCCUCCGGGGUCCGGGGGGGCCACGCUGGCCUUUUCGAGGCCUACCGGGGAGCAAAGGGAAACGCAAGAGGGAGUUUGAGUUGCUGUCAAGCGCCGCAGCCGCCCGACUAUCUGGCUGAGCAGGAUGGCAGUCCCCCAGCCGGCAGAGGAAGGGGGAGGGGAGAGAGGCUGCGGAGAGGAGAGGGCGCUCCCUUGCACUGUGGUUGGCUUCGGAAAGCUUGAGGGGCGCGUCUGUCCCGGAUCCGAGGUGGGCACGGAAUCACCCCCACAGAGCAGUUGGACUGCGGGCGUUUGCGUCUCGGAAAUCAAAGUUAUCAGCGCCUCCCGAGUCUCCACGUCAAGUUUGUGAAAACCGGGCGAUGGCAAUUUGUCUAAGAAAAUAAAAGUCCCAGCCUUUCCAAUGGCCUGGGGGGGGGGGGGGGGGGGGAGUGGGGAGGAGGGGAGAGGAAGCGACAACAGUACCGGCCAGGAGAGGCGGGGCCGCCGCCGUGGGUACCGGGGGCUUCUCCUCCUCCCUCUGUCUGGGCUGGGGUGUCGCUCCGAGGGCCGCCGCCGCCGCCGCCGCCGCCGCCGCCGCCGCCGCCGCCGCCGCCGCCGCCGCCGCCGCGGGAGGAAGCCCUCCUAGCUCAGUCGCAUGUCGCUGGGGUCCGCCUCAGCAGCUGCCGCGGUCGACGGUUCCGUCGCCGCCAAAGUUUACUUGCGAGAGCUUCUUGAUUCCAUCUUCCUGGAGAGGCGCUGGCCGCACUGCGUUGGGCUUAUUCCCUCCCCGGCGCUCGCGCACUCGCGAGUUUGUCUGUCUUUCUCUGUUCUCCUUCUCUGGUACUGGAAGGAAAAAAAGGGAAGAUAGCGCCCCAGAGGUGGUCAUUCAUCCAGUUCUUGGCCGGUGACUCUUCACUUCAGCUGAGAACCGCUGCAGCCAUCCUCCCGGGACCGUCACCUCCAUCACUCCUUCCUGGGCAGACACAGCGCUGUGCCCCCCACCCCCC